UGGCCCCAAAAUAUAGCAGUUUUACAAAAUUGGGAAAAUGUAAUCGUUAAGCUAUUUGUUGGAAAGAAGAAUGAUUCUGCUACAUAAAUAUGGGCUGAUUUUGACAAUACAAUGCACAUAUACCCAGUAUUAGCAUCAUUAAGUCAUGCUAAUUUACUGAAAUCUUCACAAUUUUAGCAUUUUAGUUAAAUUUUAGACGGUUUCCGUCUGAAAUGAAAGUGGCCGCAUUCGUGU
rnacentral:lncRNA from 1 species